GCAGUCGAGCGGACAGAUGGGAGCUUGCUCCCUGAUGUUAGCGGCGGACGGGUGAGUAACACGUGGGUAACCUGCCUGUAAGACUGGGAUAACUCCGGGAAACCGGGGCUAAUACCGGAUGGUUGUUUGAACCGCAUGGUUCAGACAUAAAAGGUGGCUUCGGCUACCACUUACAGAUGGACCCGCGGCGCAUUAGCUAGUUGGUGAGGUAACGGCUCACCAAGGCGACGAUGCGUAGCCGACCUGAGAGGGUGAUCGGCCACACUGGGACUGAGACACGGCCCAGACUCCUACGGGAGGCAGCAGUAGGGAAUCUUCCGCAAUGGACGAAAGUCUGACGGAGCAACGCCGCGUGAGUGAUGAAGGUUUUCGGAUCGUAAAGCUCUGUUGUUAGGGAAGAACAAGUGCCGUUCAAAUAGGGCGGCACCUUGACGGUACCUAACCAGAAAGCCACGGCUAACUACGUGCCAGCAGCCGCGGUAAUACGUAGGUGGCAAGCGUUGUCCGGAAUUAUUGGGCGUAAAGGGCUCGCAGGCGGUUUCUUAAGUCUGAUGUG
rnacentral:rRNA from 1 species